UAGAAAGAUGAGGUUUUCUUUGGUUCUUAAUUCACCUUGGAUUUCUACAUUGAAUUCAAUGGACAGAAAGCUCUUUUGCCGUCAACAGUUGUGAACAUGCGCAGUAGAGGCCGUUUCCCGAUACUUUCUAGGCUUCACUCCUACACUCUCCAGUUCUAAUGUACGCUUUAUGGUUGGUUUGCUCCUGAGCUCCUGAGCCGUCGUUUAAGCGAGUCUUUGACGUAUGCAAGCAGUUUUUUUUGUAUCACGGGAACGCCGCCAUUUUUGUAGGGUCAACGACUUUGUUUUAAAAUUAUCAUGGGGCAUCUACUCAUGAGGCAUGUCAGAUACCUUGUAUGUGGGUACACAAAAAAGUUGUCAUUCAUUUUUCUGAGUGAGUUGCCAUUCACUCUGAGUACGCCUGAAGGAGAGUAUUUUGUCACCGCAUUUGUUCAUGCCAUGGACUGUAGAAUGUUCUAUUCAUUUAAAAUAUUCCUUCCGUUAGGAAAGAAUUAAGAAAUAAAACUUGAGGAUGACAUUUCUCUGUUCAAAAACUAGCUCCCUUCAGCGAGCAGUGCAGAGGUUUCCACAAUGAACAAGUAUUCUGCCUGGAAAAGAAAAAACUGACUCAGAGAAAAUACCUUGGCCAUUAGAGCAUUCAACUUCUUUGUGUUCAUCAGAAUCCUGUUUUGGAAAAGCCGCUGUACUCUUCAUCUAUGCUACUACUCAGAAUGUUUCUGCAAUCUGUAAUAUAUUUGAACUGGUGGAUACAGUAAGGACACACCAUUUGUGAGCUCACACUCAUUGCCCCAUUCUCAUGCAGUACAGUCAGUACAGUCUGUCAUAGCUCCAUGGCUCUCUCGGAUGUGACAGACUGUGUAUCUGUGGGUGAUGGAGUAUGCUUGAUGUGAAGCAACGGUUCCUACCCUGUGGCCUAGUAAAACGCAUAAGAAAUGACAAGAAAUGAACUUUUCCUCAAAACACAUAAAUGCAUCUUUUAUGAAGAAUGUUGUAUGUUAAACUAGCAUAAAUGAAAUGGAACCUUUCUGAACUAAUAUCUGAACUUAUACCACACAACCCGUUUCAACAUUCUGUACAAUAAAGAAAGCUAUUUAAAUAAAAGUUUGCCCGUAUGUAAAAUAAAUCCAAGGGCCUUUCCCUUUUAA